CGCUCUUAUCCAUUCCCCGUCCAUCCUGUUCUCGUCCUCUCCGCAGGCCCGCUCCACGCAAGCACCAUCACCACUGCCGGCGCUCGAUGCGCUGGCCACUGCUGCAACUGCGUGCCGGUGAAGCUACUUCCCCACGGGUUGGAGUACGAGCCUUUCAGCUGGUGCGCAAGGAGAGCUGCAAAACACAUCUGGUGGACCUACAAGCUGUACAUGCAAGCGCUGGUAAUGGUGGACAGCCACCGCUGCUAGCCGCCGACGCCCAGCUUUACCCGUGAUGGCGGUCUGCAAUCAGCCAAGUGAUACAACUACGGCAACGGGAUGCUGGGACCAGCACCCAAAUUUGCUACAACCAAUGUUUUCUGGUUUGUCCCAAUUUUACUAUUUUUGCUACCAUCACUUUUAGAUUUGCUGGAACCAGCACAAAAAUUUGCUACCAUCGGCGUUUUUAUUUUACUGAAACGGACGACAGUUUCUGCAAUUUGCUACCACCAGCGUUUUGGUUUGCUGGAACCAGAUCCAUUUUUUGCUACAACAGGACAUUUUGCUUUUGCUGGAACAAGCGUCUAAUAUUUUUUUUGCAUUUUUGUUUCCAAUGGCAUUUUGUUUUGCUGGAACCGCUUCAAUUUUUGCUACUAUCGGUGUUUCGUUUGUUGGAACAUUGCCUAAUUUUUUCUAUUUUUGCUUCCAUCGUUUUUAUUUUUUGCUGGAACCAGCCUCAAAAUUUGCUACCACCAUAUUCAGAUUUUGCUGGAACCGGUAAUUUUUCUGCUUCAACCCAGUACUGGAGUCUUUUGUUGCUUUUUAUGUUUUUGCUAGAUGUGGCCUUUUCGUUUGCUACAAUCUGCUAUGCGGGAUGCUGGAAACUCUUGUUUUGGCGAAGCUGCAAUGCCGCGUGAAAACUGAUGAAGGAGCUGCCAGCGCGUUUUGGUGUCGCAACCAUGGGUGGCGGAGAGCAAUCCGUCGCCGGCAGUUUUCUCAUGAAUUUAUCGAGCUGCAACCCGCCCGCAAUGGAGUUGCGACAUCUUCGUCGGAGAUUUUUGCAUGGGCCAUGGCCACAACUGCAUCGGUGGGAGGGAAGGGUAGAAGAAAGCUGCAACCGGCG
rnacentral:rRNA from 1 species